AUGUGUUCUUCUGAUUGGUUGAUAAAUAAAAUGCUGAUUGGCCAGUAGCCAGGUGGGAUGAGCAGAGAGGAGAAUUCUGGGAAGACGAAACCUGAGUCAGGAGACACCAGUCCGCUGUCUAGAGAGCAACACGUAACAGCACACAGAGCAAGCUGUGGAUGAAACCGUUAACAUGAGGACUUCCGGGAGACAUUACAGGUCCAAAUUACUGCACCCUCCAUUUUGGAAGGGGUGACCUGUAACCAGCUGGACACCACAGAGGCCUCAGCUGUGAGAAGAUGCAGCUGGCCUGAUGAGUCUGGUUGCCUGUCUGCUGUGCAGUUAUGGUUCCAGCAGGGAGACACUUGCCUGAAGGGUCCCUUCUGGAAUCUUCCAGCAGGAGGCUCUGGGAUCUUACCAAGCCAGAAACUGAGACUCUCGGGGACUCUGCAAGCCACUGAGUCAACACAAAUAAAAUCAUUCGUUACUCCAUUGAUUGGGGAACUGAAUCUUUUAUUAAAGAAAA